GACGAACGCUGGCGGCGUGCUUAACACAUGCAAGUCGAACGGAAAGGCCCUGCUUUUGUGGGGUGCUCGAGUGGCGAACGGGUGAGUAACACGUGAGUAACCUGCCCUUGACUUUGGGAUAACUUCAGGAAACUGGGGCUAAUACCGGAUAGGAGCUCCUGCUGCAUGGUGGGGGUUGGAAAGUUUCGGCGGUUGGGGAUGGACUCGCGGCUUAUCAGCUUGUUGGUGGGGUAGUGGCUUACCAAGGCUUUGACGGGUAGCCGGCCUGAGAGGGUGACCGGCCACAUAGGGACUGAGAUGCGGCCAAGACUCCUACGGGAGGCAGCAGUGGGGAAUAUUGCACAAUGGGCGGAAGCCGGAUGCAGCAACGCCGCGUGCGGGAUGACGGCCUUCGGGUUGUAAACCGCUUUCGCCUGUGACGAAGCGUGAGUGACGGUAAUGGGUAAAGAAGCACCGGCUAACUACGUG
rnacentral:rRNA from 1 species